AUGAAGAGGAAGACUACAGCAACAAUAGAUUUGUUUUUCAAGCCUAUUGCUUCUAGCUCUAAUGCAACUGAAAAUGCAAAUCCACCGGAGGAGCAACCUGUUGUAGAUGAUACUUCCAGCCCUAAUCUAGUUGAUAUGCAAACUGAUGAUCACAAUAUUGUGGCACCACUAGAAACUUUAGAAGAAGGUAGAACUAGAAGCACAAAAUAUGUGAGGGAUCCUGGUACACGCCAACAGAUUUGGGAACUCCAUCCCGAUAAGCAGGAUGAAGCACGUCGAUUCUAUGUUUCUAAGGGCGCUUUUCAUCCAUACAUGAAAGAGUAUCCAUAUAAUGGAACAACAAAAAACCGCCGCCGAUUCCAGUAUAGUUAUUUCACUGAUUGACCUUGGCUAGAGUAUUCACUUGUCACACAUCGUGCAUACUGCCUCUGUUGUUUCCUCUUUACGAAAAAGCCAACUGGAAAGUGUGGUUCAAGUGCAUUCAUAGUGGAUGGAUUUAUAAACUGGAGAAAGGUGAAUGAUGGCAAAUUGUGCUUUUAUAACCCACAUGGACAAAGAUUCCAACUCAGCCCAUAG
rnacentral:rRNA from 1 species